CCUACGGGAGGCAGCAGUAGGGAAUUUUCCGCAAUGGGCGAAAGCCUGACGGAGCAAUACCGCGUGAGGGAAGAAUGCCUACGGGUUGUAAACCUCUUUUUUCAGGGAGGAACAUAAUGACGUGUACCUGAAGAAUAAGCAUCGGCUAACUCCGUGCCAGCAGCCGCGGUAAGACGGAGGAUGCAAGUGUUAUCCGGAAUCACUGGGCGUAAAGCGUCUGUAGGUGGUUUAAUAAGUCAACUGUUAAAUCUUGAGGCUCAACCUCAAAAUCGCAGUCGAAACUAUUAGACUAGAGUAUAGUAGGGGUAAAGGGAAUUUCCAGUGGAGCGGUGAAAUGCGUAGAGAUUGGAAAGAACACCGAUGGCGAAAGCACUUUACUAGGCUAUUACUGACACUCAGAGACGAAAGCUAGGGUAGCAAAUGGGAUUAGAUACCCCAGUAGUCCUAGCUGUAAACUAUGGAUACUAGAUGUUGAACAGAUCGACCUGUGCAGUAUCAAAGCUAACGCGUUAAGUAUCCCGCCUGGGAAGUAUGCUCGCAAGGGUUGAAACUCAAAUGAAUUGACGGNUGAGAGNGCGAGACGACGACGAGGGAGAGG
rnacentral:rRNA from 1 species